rnacentral:rRNA from 1 species
CCUACGGGGGGCAGCAGGGGGGAAUAUUGCGCAAUGGGCGAAAGCCUGACGCAGCGACGCCGCGUGAGGGAUGAAGGUCUUCGGAUCGGAAACCUCUGUCAGCAGGGAAGAACGGUCACGGUGCUAAGCAGCAGUGAAUUGACGGUACCUGCAAAGGAAGCACCGGCUAACUCCGUGCCAGCAGCCGCGGUAAUACGGAGGGUGCGAGCGUUAAUCGGAAUUACUGGGCGGAAAGCGCUCGUAGGCGGGAUGUCAAGUCAAGGGUGAAAUCCCCGCGCUCAACGUGGGAACUGCCUUUGAAACUGGCAACCUGGUGUGUGUUCGAGGAUAGUGGAAUUCCAUGUGU